CGGUUGUUCGAGUUGUUCGACGUUCGUUCACAAGUAAAAUGGCGGCGAUUAAUGUGAAAGGCGAAACGUUGUCUUAUUUCUGGUUGUAAAUAAAGUAAUUGGUAAUCUGAAACGUUGUUAUUGUUAUACAUAAGGAGGAUGAAUAGACACAAAGUGGAAUUUGCAAAGUGAACAGUUAUAAGCAUUGAAAAAUCCAAGUGAUUCUACACAAUAGACCAAAACCCGUCGCAACGAGCACUCGAGGCCAUAUUUAUGAUGUUAUCUGUUGUGUGAGCGUCCUCCGAAAGCACAUUGAUAAAUGUUUGCAGAAAACUAAGGCGAUGGGGUUUUGUUUAUGUGAAGAUUGAAUUGAACAUCAUGACAUCAAGUGCUGCAAAUUAGUGUUUGUAAGAAUACAUUGACGUGUGCUACAAACUAUGGAUGAAAGUGUGGACUUCUACUGACAUAUUACAUACAUUGACACUUAAAAUAACAUCACGGAGGUGGUAAUGGAUCCAGUAGGACCAUGGUCAGCAUAUGCUUCGUACAAUCGAUUAGCAGGGGUUCAGGCUGGUGCUGCGAGUGGGGACUUUCAUCAUCACCUCACAAGUGGUGGUUCAGGCCUAAGUGGUCAGUCAGUACCCUCUACGACCAGCCAAUUGUUAUUACAAGCAGCGCACACAACAGCCUCUUUGGCAGGGCAACUAGGUUCUUCGACUGCCUCACCCUUCAACCCUGGAGGAUUUCUAUCCCCCCCUGCUGUAGGGUAUGAUGCAGUGUUCUCACCACUAUUUCAUCAUGCCAACCCAAAACCCGCACACUAUAGUUCUUCACUUCAAGCUCAACACCGGCAAGUGAUUGCUCAAGCUCAGGCAGCAGUUGCAUCAAAGCAGUCUUCAGUUGAAUCUGAGCUUUCCUCAUUGAGAGAAAAUUAUUCUCAUCAGACACUAGCGGCACAAGGGACAGCUUCCUUCUUUGAUCAGUCAUCUACACCAGGUGGAGCUGGUGGACUAAGUUGGCAAGGGAACAACCAACUACCAAGCCCGUUUGGUAUAUUACCCCAUGAGAGUGUAGUGCCCUCAUCACCAAGUCCAGCCACAACAAAGGCGUCUGCCACUUAUGAUAAUUUUAAUGCACAUUUUGCUGCUGCCCAAACCCUCAAUAACCACCUUAACUCUCAGAUUUCCAGUGCUGGUAAACAAAGCAAUAGGUCAGGUUCCCCGGCGACUGCAUCUAAGCAACUGGCUUCAUCGACAUCUUCAUCAACAUUUUUUCAAUCACCUUCAACAUUUGGAAGUCAGACUGAUAGCGCAUAUAGUUCGAGCAGUGCAAAGAGUGGACAACCUUCGUCACAGCAGGACUAUGCUGGAAGUAAGUCUUAUUCAGGUUCUGCAAGUUCUACUACCCAUUCACAACAAUCAUGUAUUGUGUCAACUCCAACAGUGACAUCCUCCUUAUCCUCUCCUAGUAAGGAUUUCCGCUCCUCUUCCAGCUCCGCUUCCAGAACCUCUUCUUCUGUUUACAACUCACAAUCACCUAAGAAUUCCAGUGGUGAAAAAUCUCCAAGACAGUCAUCCAGUAGUACCAGCAAUUUUGUGUCUCCCACUACUAAAGCGCCACAAGUACAGACUAAAGCACAAAGUAAAAUAUACCCUGAGUUAAGUAGCGAACAAAGGAAAAGUUGUGAAUCUAGUGAUAAGCUUCAGCCCCAAUCUUCUCCUAUAAGUUAUUCUAUAAUGGAUGCUCCAGGCAGACUCAAUUAUAGUAGUAGUGUUACUACUCCUUCCAAAUCAAAUAGAAUUGGUGGUUCUCAAUAUUCCUCAACUCAAAAUUCAAGCUUUAGGCAUUAUCAAAGCGGAAAUAAUGUUGAAUCUGAUUAUCAUGUCCGAGCUAAGAGUAGUUCUAGUACAGACACGGGAUAUUCCAGUAGUAGUUCGCAAAAUGGGCCAGAUUGUAGUGGGGCUGCACCCAGAAGACCUAGUCCUCUGCAAGCACCUGCUCAAACUUCUCCGUUAGGUCAUGGAUCUAGUCCGGCGUAUCCUAUGUAUCAUAGUCCUAUGAACUCCACUAACUCGCCUCAACAGCAUGGGGAUCAUUACAGUAAGGUCAAUAGUACGGCGCCUCGUUCCCCAAUGGAUGCGUCGGUUUCUAGGCCUUCACCUCAAAAUAGUCAUGUAGCUUAUCCUUCAGUUAUAACUAGGGCAUUAGGUAUUGAGCAAAGUAAAACGUAUUCAGAGAAUCGCUAUGAACGGACUUCCAAUCAAAGUUCAACGCCAGGACAAACCUGUUGGGAUGGCGACCGUCAAGCGUCCAGAAAAUAUUCUAGUAGUAGUAACAGUAAUAAUUAUAGCAAUAAUGGAUUAUCUGAAAGUAAAAAUACUCAUAAUGAAGAAACUGUUUCUCAAUCUACAUCACAUAGGACGUUAAAUUUAGCAGAAAAACAACACACUUAUUUUGAUGGCACUAAUGUAGCAUUACAAGAUUUAUCUAGCUGUCGUGGCGACCCCAUGAGCAUAGUUAAAAAUUUACAAAGCUUACAGCAAAGUUGUCAAUUACAAGAGAUCAAAUCCAAUAAGAGUCAAAUGCCGGUUAGUGCUCCAACAAAAGUGACACCUCGUAGAAAAAGUACUGAAAAACCGGUCUCGCAUAAUAUGAACGACAUCUCAACCGCGGUAAUGGCAGAUUAUCUUGCUAAUAGGAUCCCGCCCCCCGCUCACAGCUCUACUCAACAACAGAAUGGUACCUACUUUGACUUUGAAAGAUGGAAUCUACCACCACCUCCACCCAAAAUGUUUCCCGGUACCUCUGCAUUCGGUUCCCAAGCAAGUCUUCACGCCACAAAUUUUAACCAACACCAAGCACUUGCCAUGCAGCACGGCCAUGCACUGACCUAUUUCCCUCCUUUCCACUUAGGUCCUCAUCCUGACUUCCAGUCAUCUGUGGAGUUAACACCGUUGUCGUCAUUUAGUGAGACUCCACCUUCGGCUUCCUCGUCAUCUUUUUCAACACCCGAAACUCGUGAAGAGGAACAGCCUAAGGUGGUAGUGCCUAAUAUAGAAGAAGAACUUGGUUUCCUUGCAGAACAACGGGGAAAUACGUCUUCGGUAGCACCCUCUUCUCAGCAGCAGAAUCUAAACAGCACUUCACAAGACGCUACUUCAAAAAUAAUGGAAAAAAAAUUCAAUGUGCCAGUCACGGGCCCAGGAUCUGGUUUCAUGGCUUCUUAUUUGAAAUUUUUACAAGGAGAGCGUGACACCUCUCCACCGCCGGCCGGCAGAGGCGCCAGAAAGUCUACUUGGUCGCGAACUACCACUAAUAAUGCGAAUAAUAAAAUUUAUCCUCAUAAUGACCACGUCAAAUGUGAUGGAAAUCCCGCUCAGAGUUCGAACGGCGCAAUGGGAGCGAACGUAAUCAAUUCGGCAAUGUCGCUAAGUAACCCCGCAAUGACUGCGCCGAGUAUGAGCUCGGCGGGCCUGAUGGGCGCCAACCAGUUACAAGGCGCGUCAUCGAGUCUCCUCGGCUCACAAGCGAAAGGUAUCGAAUUAGACGAUCCUCGGUACUAUGUGAAUAAGGACAGAAAACGUAAAUAUGACGGUAGCGAAGAGAGCGGCUACGACGCGGAGGAGGAGGCGAGAAGGCUGAACAAGCCGGUGCUGGUAGUGCCCAGCACGCCGCUGAGCGACAAGGGCAAGAAAGGGCGCGGAGCGAUGAGCAAGCCGCCGCCGUCGGCGGUGGUGGCGCCGCAGCCAGCCGCGCCGGCGCCGGCGCCCGCGCCCGCGCCCGCGCCCGCGCCCGCGCUCAAGAAGCCCCGAGCGCCGCCGCCGCCGCCCGUGGCCGCGCUGCAGGCCGCGCCGCAGCACCAGUACUAUUACCAACACCAGCCCGACGAAGUGGCUCACAGCACAAAUUUGGGCUAUGGGAGUUAUGGGGCGCCGGACACUGAGAGCAAUGCGAACAGGAAAUUGCAUCACAUUAAAUCCCAUCAGCAGAUCAGCACCGGGCAGAUUGACUCCAGGCCAGGCCAGGUUGAGGAAAUGCCUUAUCAGUCGGGGGAGUUUGUGGCAAUAAAGAGUGAGUUAAACGAAAUGUGGCCGUCUAUCUGGAGAGUAGAUGGCAAGACGCUGUUACAAAAAUACGAGCCAUUUGAAGAGAAUGGUAAAGUUUUAUAUCGGAAUAUUUCUACAUAUGCAGCGUGGAACCCCGAAAAUAAAAAACUAUACACGCAAGUGUCCGUUAAAGUUAGGUCUCAAUCUCAUUUGGAAACGAUAGUAGAGUUAGUGAGAAGCGAACUUCAAUUUGAUGACUGCAAUUUCAUCGAAAAAAGGAUGCUGGAAACUCAAAUGUACCAGGAAAACUUUGAAGUCUAUAUACAAACCUUAAUAUCACACGCCCUAGAUCCUAAUUUUUUGACGGAAAUCUUUCAAGAACAAGACGAGUACUUCCUGUCGAACGUGAAGACGGUGGACGAGGUGACGGAGUCGAUGCGGGGUUGCGUGUCUAGCGCGGUGGGGGUGGGGGUGGGGACGGGCAGGGCGCUGGACUCGGCGGUGGGCACGUGGCCGGGGCUGAGCGUGGCGGGGGUGGGGGCGGGGGCGGGCGCGGGCGCGGGGUCGUGCCGCGCGUGCGCCCGGCCGGCGGCGGCGCGGCUGCUGCUGUACGGGCAGCCCUACAACCCCGCCACGCUGGAGCCCGUGCAGCCCGACGCGCGCCUCGCCUACGAGAAGGAAUUCCUAGUGUGCGCGACGUGUUGCGGCCGUGUGCAGCUGUACUCGCGGAUAUCGCACCAGAAGUACCUGAUGUACGCGGAGUGCAGCAAGCGCGUGGCCGAGAAGCGGAUGCAGAACCCCAGCAAGGACACCACCCUCAUACUCAACGAACUGCUGGCCGACGAGGUCUGGCUGUCGCAGGUAUUCACGACUCACAAUAUUAUCUGUACAUUCUGUAGAGUGUAGACACUGAGGUACCUGAUGUACGCGGUGCAGCAAGCUCGUGGCCGAGAAGCGGAUGCAGAACCCCAGCAAGGACACCACCCUCAUACUCAACGAACUGCUGGCCGACGAGGUCUGGCUGUCGCAGCUGUUCCGCGACGUGCGGCACUCCUGGGCCGAGGCGGAGGCGUGGGAGCGCAAGCUGCGCCACGCGCUCGCGCGGCACAUGGUGUAGCCGCGCCGGCACGUGGUGUAGCCGCGCCGGCACGUGGUGUAGCCGCGCCGGCACGUGGUGUAGC